rnacentral:rRNA from 1 species
UACGGGGGGGGCAAGCGUUGUUCGGAAUUACUGGGCGUAAAGGGCUCGUAGGCGGCCAACUAAGUCGGAUGUGAAAUCCCCAGGCUCAACUUGGGAACUGCAUCCGAUACUGGAUGGCUUGAAUCCGGGAGAGGGAUGCAGAAUUCCAGGUGUAGCGGUGAAAUGCGUAGAUAUCUGGAGGAAUACCGGUGGCGAAGGCGGCAUCCUGGACCGGCAUUGACGCUGAGGAGCGAAAGCUAGGGGAGCAAACGGGG